rnacentral:rRNA from 1 species
UACGGAGGGUGCAAGCGUUGUUCGGAAUUACUGGGCGUAAAGGGCGCGUAGGCGGCGCUGUAAGUCAGAUGUGAAAGUCCACGGCUUAACCGUGGAAGUGCAUCUGAUACUGCAGCGCUUGAGUAUCGGAGGGGAAAGUAGAAUUCCCGGUGUAGAGGUGAAAUUCGUAGAUAUCGGGAGGAAUACCGGUGGCGAAGGCGACUUUCUGGACGAAUACUGACGCUGAUGCGCGAAAGCGUGGGGAGCAAACAGG